rnacentral:tRNA from 1 species
GCCGGAGUGGUGAAAUUGGUAGACGCAGGGGACUCAAAAUCCCCCGGGCCUUGCGCCCAUCUCGGUUCGACCCCGAGCUCCGGCACCA